AUGAACUAAAAUAAGUGGAAACAAUUACAGCAUGGCUGCAGCCAGAUAAUUAUGCUAUUGACUACUGGGUGUCCCCAAACUAUAGAAUAGCCACACUUCAGAAGCACUUCAUUACCAGCCCCACCCCCACACAUUUACAUAGCACCUCGUGCCCCCUUUUCUCUAUCAUCAAGCAAUAAGGUAUUCCCACAAAUGGGCAACCAUCAUCUAAAGCUAUGAAACAGAGGUUAUGGGGGUCGCCUGUAAUUGUAGCAACAGAAAUUAAUGUACGCUGUAAAA